CGCAGGGUGAUUUAAUGUGAUUAUAGCAAUUAGGCCAAUUAAGGCGCUCGUCCUCGAAGAGGUCUCGAAACCUGAGUCUCUCUCCCGCAGGCACCUCAUUCUCUGUUGGCGUCGCUUUGAGUGCGGAAGGCUGGAACUCUACAGCUGGAGAAGCACGGUCCUUUAUUUUUCAAGCAUUUGGAAUUUAAAAUCUGGAUUUAUUGUGACACUUACCGACAGAUGUACGCAGUCGGUGUUCGCACAAGAAAAUUUGAAACUGCAAGUGAAACAUCAGUAAUGCUGAGAAACAGGGGGUGCUCACACUCCACAUUAGAGCAAUGAUGAACCGCUUAUACAGGUAUCACAAACUUGGUACCGCUUUUGACGUUAUAUUAUUCUAAAUUGAAGAAAGGAUCCCUUUGGACACUAAGAUAAAUGCAUAAGAAGCUAAAUGGAGCUGGGGAGGGUACUGCAGGAGCAAACCUUAUGUGGAUCAUGGGGGAGAAACCAAACGUACGUGCGGAUGUUCUCAGACAUGGGACUGGCUGGCCGUGUUAGACUUCGCUAAGCAGUGACAGCCCAGUCAUCUCUGUGACGUGUAGCCGUGCUCUUCAUUCAGACGACUUAAUUUUCUUGUGUUACCCUGGAUGAAGGCAAAGACUCUUCAAAGACUCUCUAAGACAAAACCCUCAAAAUUGUGGUUUUGUUUCCUAUUUUGAUCCUGCUUUCCUAUACAUUAACACGAGGAUGCCAAAUAAAGGCUGCUUUUGUAAAACUAUCACAAGGAAAACGUUACGGGUAUUUUACACCGUCCACAAAUACCAACAACUACCAAAUAAACCAAAAAAAAUCCUGUGGGGAUGUACCCAGCAGCCACCCCUUCCUCACCACCUCCUCCGCCACAGCCCGUGCUCCUCCGAAUGCCAUGGCCCACGAUGGAGGCUCCAUCGCCAUCACUUUGAAAGCGUUUCUAAAAGCUUUUGUUUCUACAAGGUUUGGGAGAGCAAGGGAAAGGCGCUGGGACAGGGGAGCGGCUCAGGGUCCCUACCUCGCUCCCUGGGGACGCGCACAAAGCAGCCCACUGUGCCUGGAUCUGCGUGGAGGGGGACGGCACCUGCAGAAACAGCUUCACCCUCUCGAGGGUCUCCACCGCCCUCUUGGAGAUGGCAGCCACCACGCUGCUGGCCCUCAGGUCCUUCCCAAAGGAGAUACGGGGUCGCAGAGGUCCUUGCCCUGCAGGGCCAACAUGGCGCAUGGCACCGCCCUGGCCUUUUCCUCCUCUACCCAAAAAAGCACACAGCCAGCGGGCACUAAACUGGCUUCUUUUUCCUCAAAAGCUGAUGGUCUGGGGGUAUGCAGGAGCUGAGCUGCCUCUGGCUCCCGCUAUUACCAUCUGCAAGGGGCGGCCGGGCCCGGAAACGGAGCUUCCAGGGAGCGCCACCCUCCCUGAGCUGCUUCCAGAGACCUCUGGAACUUUCCAGGAGCUUCUGUCAGCUGCGAGAACUGGCCCCUCUCCCCCGAGUAGGAACUAGAGAAUAAAAACCCCAGGUAACAAAGGGUAGUUGUUGAUCAUAUUGAGUUAUGAGUUAAUAAACAUUAUAUAUGGCAAGUAAAUGAAUUUUAGUCGUGUUGUUUAUACCCAUUCCAGUGCAGGGCAGAAAUAUCAAUUCCUUCUAGAUUGCUGAUAGCAUUUUUUUUUUUAAUUGCUUUCCGUCCCCUGCAUCUCCUGACUUUAUGAUUAAUGAAGGCAUGAAACGCUAUUUGCUCAGUCAAAAUGUUUUAAUUGUUGAUGUUUUUAAAUGCUAACUUCUGUUUCUUGCAUUCCCUUGACAUUAGUAAUUUUAACGCUGGUACUCCAUUGAUUUGUUGUGCGCCACACUGCUUUGCUGUAUUUUUUAAAAAUAAUAAUUUAAAGGCAAAAGAAAUUAAUUCAUUUAGUGCCUUAAUGCUACCAUUUCAAGUCCUUUCGUAGCUUCUCUGCAUCUAUUCCUUUUAAUAUAAUUUUAUACGCUGAUUCACAAUCUUUGAAAAUUACAAAGCUACAAGAUUUGUAUCAAAGAUACUUGAUAAAACUCUGUGUUCUGUAGGAAAUGAAAUCCUGUCAUCCUUUGGGGCUCUUUUUAAACAUACUCUUAAAAAUCUGCAAAAUACAGUCUCUGCUCAGUUGACGAACAACCAAUAAAAAUCCCGUAGUAUCCACAUAAUUAAUGCAAAUUUUGCAACGUUUUGCUGCCGAACUACACUGCUUGGAGUAUAAAAGGUGUACCAUACUCGGAUGCCCUUAAUUCUGUUUAAGGUAGGGUGUCUUGUGAAGGAGCAAGCCAGUCUAAAUAGCUGAUUGGUGCUGGAGGAGUCCCACCUCCGUCGCUGCUUUUCUCCGCACCCACCUUCAGAUUCACUGUUUCUUCUGCCUGGGCUCAGGUGCGUGUUUGGCCCAGCUAGGUCUGAUUAAACACAAGGAGCUUGAUAAAAGUUAGCUGUCCUCUUUUUAAAGCAUUCAAAUACCUUCUUUUUUAGCAUUCAAACCAUAUAGCCCAGCCUUUAAGAGACUGAAACGAGACAAACAUCAGCAAAAUUACCCUUUACCGUGCAGAUACAUACUUAUGUGCACACACACACAGACGUACAGGUUCUGUGAAAGCUCUUAAACCUGCUAGAAGCCAUGCAGCAAAGACUGCUUGCUUCUCUGUUCCUUCCUCCCAUACAACAAAAUCUCAUAUUCAAACCCCACAUAUUUUAGACUCUCAAAAGGUGCUGUUCAGAUGUUAUCCAUACUAAUACAUAUUUUUAUUCUUCAGAGUAAAUCUCACACCACUUCAUUGACGGAGAACAAAUCUAAAGCACUACUGAUAUAACUCAGUUUUGUUAUGUCUCAAACUGAAACACUCUAUUUCUCAUC